CAAUACACCCCUAAUCGGUGGGCCCCACUUAAGCUCCCUUUAUUCCGUUGUUUGGUUCAUGGUAAUGCUAUUACGGGUGUAAUCCAUUACUGCCCUAAUCGGUGAAAUCCACCGAUUUGUAAUACAGCCCUUUUGCUCAGAUUAGGUGCUGCAUCCAAAUCCCUCCCUGUUUUACCCUCCCAAUUGGCUUCCCCAUUCCGUCGCCUCUUCCUUCGUUCUACCUUCGUUCUACCUUUGCCUCCCGAUUGGCUUCCCCAUUCCUUCGCCUCUUCCUCUGUCUCUCAACCUCUUCUUUUCUUUUUCUUUACAACCAGUCACUCUUUCGUUUUGCCUUCUCAACCAGUCGACCUUUUUCUUUUCUUUUUCUCUGUGUCACUCCUUCGAUUGCUCUCAAUUGAUGGGUUUCCAGGUUACUGCUACUGAAAGGUAAAGGUUUCUAACUCUCUUUUGCUCUCAAUUAUCCUGUAAUUGUUCUAACUCUCUUCUUCUCUCUGUACUGAGUUUUAAUGGCUGUCUUGUUAGUGUCUUCUUCAUUGCACUUUCAGGGCCUGAUCAUAUAAACUUCAUCGAAACACGGAAUCUUUUGUUUCUUCUUCUCUUUUGCUGGAGUUUUUGCUUUAAUUUUCGGUAAAAAUUUCUUACUAAUCUUUGAUUUUGGUUGUUUUCUCAUUGGUUGAUCUUUACGGCCCUCAUGGAAUCAAAGACCUGAAAGUUUAAAGGGAAUUUUCCUUACUUUCUUGAUAAAAUUCAAUUUAAAACAUUCCAAUAAUUUUUUCCACCUUGUGAUUGGUAAUUUUUCACUUCUUAAUUCUUUUUGAAUAAUUGAGUUAUCUACUUCGUUAUUAGAUGAUUAUUGUUAUGAUUAUUUGAAGAACAGUAACUUGUGUACAUGGAGUUUAUUUUGUUCUAAUUGCGUGACAGGUUUUCGAUGCUUAGUUGCAUGUUAAACAGAAAUCCAGAAUGAUCCUAUCAAUGCAAGAAAAGUCACAGUUUAUUCCAAUUUACAAUCAUUUUUUUCUUUUUCUAUGUGUGUUUUUAUCUUGUUAGGAUUAGACUUGCUCAUAUUCAUUUUCGUUCAGUAUGUUGUUUUUGCUAUUAGAUUUUCAUUUUUCUGGAUUGUUCUUUUAAAAAUGAAUGAUUUUGCCUAGUAAUCUAAUUUAAUUUGUGUUUUUAUGUUAUGGGGGGCUAAAAUGAUUAGUAUUCUUCUCCAGCAAAGAGAAUGAAGCCAGAGGUUUCUUCGUUGAAUCCCUGUGCAGCAUCAUACAUACCACUUGCCAAAAGGGAGGGUUCCAUAGCUAAAGAUAUUAAGGCUGGAAAUGAGUCUGCUUGGUUUGAUCCUUCCUCACGUAGCAAUGCUUCACUUGAAUCUGCAAUCCCUGGCAUUGGAAACCACCUGGUUGCACUGAAAAGCGACCAUGGUCAUGGUUCUUUGAUGCAAAAUCAGGGUGAAAUGAGUGGCGAGCAGAUUAUGGAUGAGGAAUUCGACAUGGAUUUGGAGUAUCUUCGUAUGAUGUUCCCCGGUUUGUCCAAUGACUCUGUUCUGGAUGUCUACAUGGCUAAUAAUGGAGACUUAGAAGCCACUAUUGACAUGCUGAACCAACUUGAGGUAAAUUUUGCCUAUCUUUAUUUUAUAAUUUAUAUAACUUGAUUGUCUGAGUGGUCUUGCUGGAUUCGUUUUCUAUAUUAUUUUCAUCUCGAAUGUUUCCUAUAUUAUUAGCUCCUCUUACUGUUCCAUCCUGCAGAUUUCCAAGUGUCCCUCUAUGAAAGUGCUAGUAGUGAAGUAAUUGAAUUUAUGAAUAAUUUUCUGAUGUUGUGGGUAACAUAUUUCACUUGUUUUUAACUGUAUGACAUCAAAGAGUUAAGGAUGUUAGUCUGCAUUCAGGCCUAUUUCAGCAUAACCAUGGUUUUUCUUCAUUUGUUUUAAUCCUCCCUGUGCAAAUGAUAGAGAUUUUUCCACCUGUUUUUGUCUCUCACCUUUUGAACUUUCAUAUGAUUUUAUACAUUGAUUUAUGUCAAUGAUUUCCCCACAUAUUUUGUUCUUAUGGAUCGUAUACCUUCAGAUGCUUUUAUUGUUUUUAUUCACCUCACUUUCAGUUGAAUAUAUUAUAACUGAGGGUUGUGUAGUGUUAUCUUGUUCAUAUAAAUUUGUUUGGAAAUUUACCUAUUCUAUAAUGCCAUUAAUAAUGUAUGCUAAUUUGAAUAUUGGGGAUAGGAUGUUUUCCUCAUGCUGCUUGCUUCUUGUUUACUCAUUGUACGGCAAGUUCUUUCUUUGGUUUCAUUGGAAGUGAUUUCUGGAGUAUUUGUGAUUUUGAUUCUUGAAUUAGUUUAUGGUUGGGAUUAAAAAAUGCACCUUUUUGCCCUUAUUUCAGUAUUCAUGUACAUUGGAUAGUUCUCUUUGUUAGAUGUACAUUGUUGAGUCCUCUGACACUCUUCCCGACACAUUGGAUAUCGGUGAUAUCUCUGAAUUUAUCUCUUCAGCAAACUGUGGUACUCUUAAACUGAAGAAUGUGGCAGGUGAAACCGGCGCGUCUUCAUCAGGCUCUACAGAAUCAGCUGUUACCUCCUGACUGACAUAAUCAAAGGGGUUUCAGUGUUUCUAGUUUUGGUUGUAUCUCUCAGUGGAUAAGAAGUGUACACAAGUAGGGUUCUUCUUCAAGGUUGAGAAAUGUAGUACUUUGCUUUUAACACUUGAAGGGUUUAACAUUGGAUGUGUAGUUGUAUGCUGUAACAUUUGUUUGGUCGCUCAACUUUUUCUACAUUUGUUUGGCGAUGGAAGAGUAUUUGUUUUGUUUAUGCCUUUGCUGGGGGUUCAUUUUCUCUAUAUAAUAUAAUAACUUAUAUUAGAAGUAAAAUUGUAUUUUGCUUUCUACUAAAAGAAUGGGCAAAUUAGUUCGUGUACGUAAGAUUAAAGAGCAAACUAAUCUUUUUGUUAAAAAUUUCAUCCAUUUUUAUAAUUAAAACCGAUCUUUAUAUGUCGGCAUGAGGUACACGUGGUACAUUACAUGUAAUUGUCUGAUUAUUUUUAUUGUUAACAAUUGAUCUUUUUACAUAGUUUGUGAUAUAUGCACAAAUGAGGUGAAAUUUAUUAAAUUUUAUUCACCGAAUCUAUCAAUUUUCAAAUUUGGAAAAUCAGUCGACUUGCAAUGACUUUUUGGAUAGGAUCAAACAUUCUUAGAUUGAGAUAUUUUCAUAGUGUUUGGAGAUCUCUUAAUAUAAGAAUAUUAAUUAUUAAGAAUUUUAUUAAAUUAUAUAUUUUAAUUAUAAUAUAUUUAAUAAUAAUUAUGUUUAAAUAUGAUUAAAAUAUUUAUUAUUGAUAUUAAUAAUCUUAUUAAAAUUUAAAUAACAAUAACAAUAAUAAUUUACCAAAACAAAUUUCUACUAAUUAUUAAGAAUUUUAUUAAAUUAUAUAUUUUAAUUAAAAUAUAUUUAAAAAUAAUUAUUUUUAAAUAUGAUUAAAUUAUUUAUUAUUGAUAAUAAUAAUCUUAUUAAAAUUUAAAUAAUAAUAACAAUAAUCAUUUACCAAAACAAAUUUAUGCUAAGGGUAUUCUAGUCAUUUUAGUUUUUUCCAUUAUGUUAUUACACCUCUAUUCCAUUCAACCAAACACAAGAUUACUAUUACGCCUCUAUUCCAUUACAUUCAACCAAAUAGUUGAUUUGCUAUUACACCUCUAAUCCAAUACACCUCUAAUCCAAUACAGCUCUAAUCCAAUACACCUCUAAUCCAAUACAGCGAACCAAAUGCACCCCUAAUUUAAUGGGAGGGAUUCACUAAUAUUUAGGGUAAAAUUUAGGUAGUUUUACAUUAUAUAUUUAUAGUUUUUUUAUGAUUAGUAUUUUAGUAAUUUAAUUAUUGAACUUAUCAAUACAAUAAUAUUUGUCAUACAUGUAAAAUUUUUAAUUAAUCUGAUAUCUCUAUCAUAUCGAUCUAAAAUAUUAUCUAUAUCUAUAUAUUUAAUGGUAGAAAGUUUUUGACAUAAAAUAAAUAACUAGAAAAUUUUAAAUUUUGCCAAACUUGUCAUGCAUGAUUUACAUGAAUUGAACAUGAAAUACAACGGUUGAAUUAUUAAAGUAUUGAUCAUAUAAAAAAUUACAAAAAUAUAUAAAACCACUUAAAUUUUACACCUAUUUAAAUUGCUAAUUACAAAACUUGGUAUUUCACUUGGAUGUGAUGGCUCUUGAAAAUUUACUAAUUUUUAUAUUUAGUGAAAUACAACCAACAUUUGAAAUUUGUAUCAUAUUUAAAAUUUUGAAAUUGAAAAUUAUAAUAAAUUAAUAAUACUAAUCUGCAAUCUCAUGUCAUUCAUAGAUUUAAUUGUUUAUAUAACUACUUUUUUUUUUUGGUUUAGUCAAUUGAUUACAAGAUAAGGCAUUGGGAUCAACCAACCCAACCAGUUCAACAAGUAAAACAACAAUAGCGAAACAAUGCCAAAACAUGAAAGAGUACAACAAUAAUCCCCCUACAAUGAAACCAAAAUGCUCCACACAAAAUUAACAACGAGAAACCAACAAAAAAUGAAUCCACCAUUGCACCAAUUGCUUGACAUGUGAUUUCGAUUAGUACCUUAGCCACAACCAAAAAUUACCUCCCAAAAACAAGAACAGCUCCCAAAAUGACCACAAUUGAAUGCGACAAACAAGCAACCAAUCCGACACAUUGAUUGAAUUGCAACCCAUUGUUAUUAAAACCUACUCCUUCCAAAUCAACACCUAACCCAUCACUGCAACCUCAUUACUUACCACAAUGAUCGCCUAAUCUUUGACCUCACCUGCACAAUAACCAGAUAAUAAAACCAGAAAACAACCCCAGCAGAAUAAAAAAGAACCCAACCCAGCCCAACCCAGACAAACCCAACCCCUCCUCCAUCCACGUAACAAUUCACCAUUCUUACAACUCCAAUUACUCCAACUCAUACCUCGAAAGCAAAACCAACACACAAUGAACAUAAAAAUAACCGUGAGCAGUAAGCAAACCAAAAAAUUAUACAGAAAUCCUACUCCAAUUUAGACAACUGUUAACAUUAAUGGGAGACAACAUUAAUGGCAAACAAUACAAAGUGGUGCAAGUUUAGCACCCUAAAGUUGACUUUGAAAAAGUGGCAUGGGAUAAUUUUUUUUUGGUCCUUGAGAUAAUGGGCUAUUUAUUGUUUGGUCCUUAAACCUCAACUAUAAAUAGGCCUUCUCAUUUCUCAUUUCAAUUCAUCCCAACCAAUCUUUCUCUCUUAGUUUUCUCUCUUCUCCCAUUUGAGAAUUCUUAAGGAAUUCUAUUUGUUUGUAAUACUUUGGAGAUAGUAAAGUUAUCAUCUGGUGUUAGUGCCCGAGGACGUAGGUAUAAUUUACCGAACCUCGUUAAAUCUCUUGUGUUCUUUCUUGUCCUAUUUUUCUUUCAAUAUUUGAGGGUAUAAUAGUAGUAUUUAAUUGUGCUAUUAAAUUAGUAUAGAAGGGAUAUUCUGUCUAAGGAAAGACUUGGUAUUUAAGAGAUCCAUGUGAUCCACCUCUCUUCCCUGGGAAUUGAACUUUGUGUGAUUUUUUAGUACAAUAAUUUACACGCUUCCGACUCUAUUGGAACAACAAGUGGUAUCAAGAGCUGAAGGUUAAUCGUAGUAUGCUCUGUGGUUGCACUUUAAACUGAUCUUCCACAUCAGAAAAGAUUUCCUUAGGUAUAUUGAAAGAUUAUGGAGAAAACGGUCGGUGUAGGAGCUUCAACAUCGUCUAUGUGGACAAGACCGACAAUUGCAAAUGCAAGAUUGGCCGUGGAGAUCUUUGAUGGCACGGGCCAUUUUGGUAUGUGGCAAAGUGAGGUUCUAGAUGCCCUUUUUCAGCAGGGUCUAGACAUUGCCAUUGAUGAAGAGAAACCAGAUGAUGUACAGGAGAAAGAUUAGAAGGCGAUCAAUCGGUUGGCAUGUGGCACAAUUCGAUCAUGCCUUUCUCGAGAGCAGAGGUAUGCUUUUUCAAAGGAGACUUCUGCAAAUAAGUUGUGGGUGGCACUUGAAGAAAAAUUUUUGAAGAAAAACAGUCAAAAUAAGCUCCACUUGAAGAAAAGACUGUUUCACUUCACUUACGUCCCAAGUACCACAGUGAAUGAUCACAUCACCAAAUUUAAUUAGUUAGUCACUGAUUUGCUGAAUAUGGAUGAGACAUUCAAAGAUGAAGAUUUGGCUUUGAUGCUGUUGGGGUCACUUCCUGAGGAGUUUGAGUUCCUAGAAACUACUCUACUUCAUGGCAGGAGUGAUAUAUCUCUGAGCGAAGUCUGUGCGGCCUUAUACAGUUAUGAACAGAGAAAGAAGGACAAACAGAAAAACUCAAUCAGAGAUACAGAAGCUUUAGUAGUCUGAGGUCGUUCAUACACUCGGAAGAAAACUCAAAAGGGGAGAUCAAAGUCAAAGUCCAGACUCGGGAAAGAUGAAUGUGCUUUUUGUCAUGAGAAAGGCCACUGGAAGAAAAAUUGUCCAAAGCUGAAGAAUAAGGGAAAAGCUGCUGUAGAUGCUUGUGUUGCUAAGCAUGAUACUAGUGACUCUGAACUAUCACUGGUUGCAUCAUCAUCGUCGUUCCAUUCAGAUGAGUGGAUAUUGGAUUCGGGUUGUACCUAUCAUAUGUCCCCUAACCGGGAGUGGUUCUCUGAUUUAGUAGAACUAAAUGGAGGAGUUGUUUAUAUGGGCAAUGACAAUGCCUGUAAAACUGUUGGGAUAGGUUCAAUCCAAUUAAAGAAUCAAGAUGGAUCAACCAGAGUUCUGACUGAUGUUCGGUACGUGCCCAGUUUGAAGAAAAAUCUCAUCUCAUUGGGAGCCUUGGAAUCCAAUGGUUCAGUUGUUACUAUGAGAGAUGGGAUUUUGAAAGUGACAUCUGGCGCACUUGUGAUAUUGAAGGGCAUCAGGAAAAAUAACUUGUAUUACUACCAAGGUAGUACAGUUAUUGGAGCAGUCGCUGCAGCUUCCGGCAACAAAGAAUUGGACUCAAUCCAGUUGUGGCAUAUGAAGUUGGGACAUGCCAGCGAAAAAUCCUUGCAAAUUCUGGCAAAGCAAGGAUUGUUGAAAGGUGCAAAGGCUUGCAAAUUAAAAUUUUGCGAGCAUUGUGUUCUGGGAAAGCAAAAGAGAGUGAAAUUCGGUACUGCUAUCCAUAAUACAAAAGGUAUUUUAGAAUAUGUUCACUCAGAUGUGUGGGGGCCUUCCAAGACACCUUCAUUGGGAGGAAAACACUACUUUGUUACUUUUGUUUGAUGACUUUUCCAGAAGAGUUUGGGUGUAUACCAUGAGAACUAAGGAUGAAGUGCUUAGAGUUUUUCUUAAAUGGAAAACUAUGAUCGGAAACCAUACUGGCAAGAAAAUCAAGCGGCUUAGGACGGACAAUGGAGGGGAAUAUAAAAGUGAUCCGUUCUUCGAUCUGUGCCAAGAGUAUGGUAUUGUUCGACACUUCACAGUUAGGAAUACACCACAGCAGAAUGGAUUGGCAGAGCGUAUGAAUCGAACAUUGCUGGAGAAAGUUCGAUGUAUGUUGUCCAAUGCUGGGUUGGGCAAGCAAUUUUGGGCUGAGGCUGUGACAUACGCUGGCCAUCUUGUUAAUCGUUUGCCAUCAUCUGCAUUAGAAAGAAAAACUCCUAUGGAGGUAUGGUCUGGAAAAUCGGGUACAGAUUAUGAUUCCUUACAUGUGUUUGGAUCCACUGCAUAUUACCAUGUGAAGGAGUCAAAGUUAGAUCCGAGGGUAAAGAAAGCUCUCUUUAUGAGAAUCACUUCUGGAGUGAAGGGAUUUCGUCUUUGGUGCUUAAGCACAAAGAAAAUGAUCUGUAGCAGAGAUGUUACCUUUGAUGAAUCUGCCACAUUGAAAAAGGUAGCAGAUAAAGAUAUUUAGACGAGCAAUACUCCACAGCAGGUGGAGUGUACUCCAAAACAGGUGGAGUUUGAGCAGAUGGGGAUUUGCCCAGUUAAUAAGUCUAAUUCUCCAGCCACAAUGGAGGAAUUAGAGGUUGAAGAGGUUCUGACCCAAGAACCACUAAGUACACCAGAACCAGUUGCAGUUGCAAGGCCACGGAGAGAAAUUUGUAAACCUGCUCGAUUUACUAAUAUGGUGGCCUACGCCCUUCCCGUUGUUGAUGAUAUUCCUAUCACUUAUCAAGAAGCAAUGCAAAGCUUAGAAAGUGAUAAAUGGAAAAGCGCCAUGGAUGAAGAAAUGCAGUCUCUCCGGAAGAACAAUACUUGGGAGUUGGUGCAAUUACUGAAAGGUAAAAGGGCAAUCGGAUGCAAGUGGGUAUUCGCAAAGAAAGAUGGAUCUCCUAGCAAGAAGGAUAUUCGCUACAAGGCAAGAUUGGUAGCUAAAGGCUACGCUCAGAAGGAGGAAAUUGACUACAAUGAUGUAUUUUCCCCUGUUGUGAAGCAUUCCUCCAUUAGAAUUUUGUUGGCCUUGGUAGCACAGUUGAAUUUGGAGCUAGCUCAACUUGAUGUUAAGACGGAUUUCUUGCAUGGUGAGUUAGAAGAGGAGAUCUAUAUGACUCAGUCCGAAGAAUACACAAAUGCUGGUGGUAGAAAUUGGGUUUGUAAGCUGAACAAAUCGCUAUAUGGAUUGAAGCAAUCCCCGAGGCAGUGGUACAAGCGAUUUGAUAGCUUUAUGAGAAGGCAGAAGUACACAAGAAGCAAAUAUGACAAUUGUGUAUAUUUGCAGAAGCUGCAUGACGGAUCUUUCAUUUAUCUACUAUUGUAUGUUGAUGAUAUGUUAAUCGCUUCGAAGAGCCAAAAUGAGAUAGAUAAGCUGAAGGCUCAGUUGAAUCAAAAGUUCGAGAUGAAAGAUCUAGGUGAGGCCAAGAAGAUUCUCGGCAUGGAGAUAAGUAGAGAUAGACCGAGAGGCAAGCUCUGUUUAAAUCAGAAGCAAUAUCUGAAAAAGGUAUUACAAUGUUUUGGUGUAAAUGAAAACACAAAACAUGUAAGUACCCCACUUGCUUCUCAUUUGAAACUUAGUGCUCAAUUAUCUCCGAAGACUGAAGAUGAAAGAGAAUAUAUGGCGAAAGUCCCAUAUUCUAAUGCAGUUGGGAGUUUGAUGUAUGCGAUGGUGUGUACGAGGCCUGACAUUUCACAAGCUGUUGGAGUUGUGAGCAGGUAUAUGCAUGAUCCUGGAAAAGGACAUUGGCAAGCUGUGAAAUGGAUUCUACGGUAUCUUCGAAAAACCGUAGAUGUUGGUUUAAUUUUUGAACAGGAUGAAGCACUUGGUCAGUUUGUAGUUGGAUAUGUUGAUUCCGACUUUGCUGGUGAUUUAGAUAAACGUCGUUCAACUACGGGGUAUCUGUUUACUCUUGCAAAAGCCCCAGUGAGUUGGAAGUCUACCUUACAGUCUACAGUAGCUGUGUCUACUACAGAGGCAAAAUAUAUGGCAGUUACAGAAGCUGUUAAAGAGGCUAUUUGGCUUAAUGGAUUAUUGAAAGACUUGGGAGUUGUUCAAAGUCACAUUAGUCUAUAUUGUGACAGUCAGAGUGCUAUUCAUUUAGCGAAAAAUCAAGCCUAUCAUUCAAGAACCAAGCAUAUCGACGUAAGAUAUCACUUUGUGAUGGAAGUCUUUGAAAAAGGAAAAAUUCUACUUCAGAAGAUUCCGACAGCAGAUAAUCCCGCAGAUAUGAUGACCAAGGUGGUAACAACAAUCAAGUUUAAUCAUUGUUUGAACUUGAUUAACAUCCUGAGAAUUUGAGCACCUUCAGGUGUAUGACGCUCGAGAGCGCAUUUGUAGGCACUACAAAAGAUAGCUUUAUCGAAUUUGGGGAGUUGAAGGAAGUGUGUGAAGAUGUGAUUAUCCUAAUCAAAUCUUCAAGGUGGAGAUUGUUAACAUUAAUGGGAGACAACAUUAAUGGCAAAUAAUACAAAGUGGUGCAAGUUUAGCACCCUAAAGUUGACUUUGAAAAAGUGGCAUGGGAUAAUUUUUUUUUGGUCCUUGAGAUAAUGGGCUAUUUAUUGUUUGGUCCUUAAACCUCAACUAUAAAUAGGCCUUCUCAUUUCUCAUUUCAAUUCAUCCCAACCAAUCUUUCUCUCUUAGUUUUCUCUCUUCUCCCAUUUGAGAAUUCUUAAGGAAUUCUAUUUGUUUGUAAUACUUCGGAGAUAGUAAAGUUAUCAUCUGGUGUUAGUGCCCGAGGACGUAGGUAUAAUUUACCGAACCUCGUUAAAUCUCUUGUGUUCUUUCUUGUCCUAUUUUUCUUUCAAUAUUUGAGGGUAUAAUAGUAGUAUUUAAUUGUGCUAUUAAAUUACUAUAGAAGGGAUAUUCUGUCUAAGGAAAGACUUGGUAUUUAAGAGAUCCAUGUGAUCCACCUCUCUUCCCUGGGAAUUGAACUUUGUGUGAUUUUUUAGUACAAUAAUUUACACGCUUCCGACUCUAUUGGAACAACAACAACAACAUCCAAAAAAAUUCCAACAAACAAAACACCAACAUCACAAUCAACUAUCAAAUAAACCUCCCACAAAUAUCACAUAAAUCCAUUUUUCUUAUAGCUAUUUAUGCACAUCCUUUACCGAUUGUAGCCAACCAAAAAAUCCUGCAGCAACCAAACAUCAAAUACAACAAUAAUCACACCCUAAGAUUUCCAAGAUGUCAUAGACAAUUCAAUCCCGUACACCCAUCACAAAAAUUCUAUACCAUUCCAUAAACUGCAUAAACGUCCAUAGCAUCUUCCAAUAAUUCCCUUCACACCAUCAAAAUUUCAUAAAAGUUAACAUUCUUUAAACACCUACUUACUCCAAAAAGACCCAAACAACUCCUGAAACACCUUCCCUUAUUAACACCAAAAACUGCACAAGAACUUCAAUCACCCGUUUAUUAACCACUGAGACCUGAUUUCUUCUCACGAACUAAUUUCGAAACAUAGUUACUGAAUCGCUGCUCUCAUUAUUUCAUCAAUUACCUCUUCUUCAUUUCCAUGAACAAUAAAUCCCAAUUUCUUUUCGAGUGCCCAAGUGUUAUUAGCUUCCCUAAGAAUCACCCUCAUUCUAUUACUUAUAUCCGAAUCCGAUAGGGAAAGAUUAACAAUCCUCUAAUCCUCCUUUUGAGACUCCCUUUCUCUUUCCUUCAACUUGACUCUAUUACUUUUCUUCCUAUCUUUAGACGUUAAAAAAAUGCUUUGGAUUUCAUACAUAGAUCGAACCUUCUUAUUCAGACUUUUCUUUUUUUUCCUGCGACUAAUAAUCUGAUUCAAUUCUUCUUCUAAAUCCAAAUUUUCUUCCAACAUUCCAUCUCUAUUUUUUUCAUUUUCCUGAUUUCUAUUGUUACCUUCCUCUGGACCAAUUAAAUCAUCGGGGAUAAAAGUUCCAGCAUUCCUACCAUCCACGUGUGAUCCAUUUUUAAUGCCCCCAUCAUUUGAAACUCCUACAACACGCUCUAUAACAACCAAUCCCAUGUCCCUUACGUCCUUCAAUGCCCUUUCCAGAAUAAUAUCCGUUUCAGCUGCCCCUCCCAUAUUAAUUUCUUUGGACACAUGCUCUGACUCCACCUUUUCAUUAUCCACCUCUAUCAUAUUCUAACAUUCAUUACUCUUCUUCCCAUUUUCAAGAUUAACUACCAUUAAUGCUCCUGUCUUGCCGCCGCUAUUCCUUCGGACUAGAUUUUCAGCCUUAACCUCGCCACCGAACUAGCUUCCGAUAUGCUAACUUCUUCUUUUUUCUUCUAGCCAUCCUUAUUGAUAAAGCUAUCUUCUUUCAGCUCGGGCAAACCCCUUUCCCUUACUUUGAUCGAAAAAAUAAUAUCAGCAACUUCCAAUCUAACAACUUCAUCAAUCAUGUUCAUUUGAGAAAAAGAAAUCAGCAGCUCAAUUUUUUUGAAAUUGUGAACUUUAAUUAAAUUUUCGCCAACUGACACCAGCUUCCCCCAUAACCUAGCAACUCUUUUUAUAGGUUUCAUAGUUCCAGCAGUGCAAUGGCACUCCAGAGACUUCAAUCCACGACACCCUCUCUUUUAGCUUCAAUUUCUCCAACCAUGGCUCAAUGUUAAUGAAAAAAAUAUUUCAAAUAUGACCACUCAGUUUGCCUUAACAGCUCCAUCAGUUCUUCAUCCGGAAUUUUGACCAAGAAAUGUCUUCCUUGAAUCCUUCUUACUGUUAUUUCCCCAAGACCAUUUUUUUCUAAACGAUCAUUAAGGCUUUUUGAAUCACAUACUAAAAUUGAUUCGCACACCGAGCAUUUCUGUAAGUUCCAUAAUAGUUCGACUUCAACAUGACCUUGAAUUUUUCUGAUCUCAGUUUUCAUAUCCCCUCUUUCGUUAUUAACACUCAUUUCUUCACCUUUUACUUCUCCAUCUGUUUCAGCACUCUGUUCCUUAACCUUUUGAUUCGAACCAAUCCUCCAAGACUUUCUUUUACUAUUAUAACUAGCCAUUUUCACCCCGAUUCUCUUCCCCAGUAAAAAAAAAACCAUUCAACCUCAUUAUCGCCCUUAGCGCGUCCCUUUCAUUAGAGAAUCUCACAAACCCAAACCUUUUACCAUUUUUGCACCUUUUAGAUGGAAUAAAUGCAUCAACAAUAUCACCAUGGUAACCAAAUAAUGCCCACAAUCCUUUCCAAUGCAUAGAGUUCGGAAUGUUGUAAACGAAAACUGUUUCCACUUUUCUUCUUUCUCCCGACUACUUUCACAACAAUAUUUUAAAUAAUAUAUUAUAUUUACGUUAAAAUUUAUAUUUUAGAAAUUGUUUUUAAAACUAAUAUUCCUUAAUAAUUUAAUAGUCCUUAAUAAUUUAGUUCUUUUAUACUAUUUUUUUAACAUUAUCUAAAAGUUUAUAAAUUUAUUUUUAAAUAUUUAUUUAGAAGUGUUUGUUUAUAUCUUUUUUGAAAAAUUAUUUUUACAUAUCCAUUUAAAUUUUUUGAUUAUAUCCUAUUCAAAAGCUAGUGUUAUAACAUAAAUAAAUUAAAAUAAUUUUAAAUUUUAAUCUGUAAAUUAAAAUUUAACUAAUUUACAAAGUGUGCAGAAAAGUAAAACAAAACAUAUAGCAUUAGUUAAUAAUUUUUUAAAAAAUAUAAAAAAGUACAAAUAAUAAAUUGUAAAUCGGAUAUGUGAUAUAUUAUAAUAUUUUCAAUAAGAAUUUUUAAAUAUUUAAAAUAUUAAAAUGUUAUAAAAUAAAAAAUAGAGAGUAAAGAACACAGAAAAUGAGAGAGCAAAUGAGAGUGUAUUUUAUUGAUCAAUUGUAAUAUUUAUAAAAUUUAUCCAAAGUCUUUAUUUAUAGGCAUGUCACAUACCAAAAUAUAGGGAGUUAGAUUAAUUGGGUUACAAAAUUAUGGGAUUGAAACGAAUAUUAAAAUUAGGGUAAAAAAUAAUUAAUUAAAAUAUUAAGAUAAUAUAAUUAGGUUUCAUCAAAACAAAACUUGAUUACGAAAUUUAAUUUGAAAAUAGUGAGUUUUAACUGAGUUAGGACUUAAUUAGAAAAGAGGUAAAAUAAAAUAUUAAUAGUAAGUCCUAAUUAUGUGAAUUAAUAAUUAUAUAUGAACUAAAAUAGGGGAGUAUUAAAAAAACUAUAAUAGUUAAAUAAACUGGAAAAAAAAAAAGAGUAAUUAUAUAAACUAAUAGAGAAUAGCUAAGUUGAGCCCCAAAUAGACAUGUACAAUUAAUUAACUAAAAUAAAUAAAAAUUAAGGUAUAGUUUAAUUAGUAAAGCACUCCCUUUUUUCUCUUGCGGAAUAAGAAUAAUUAAGCGUAAAAAUAAAACAAGAAAAGGACGAUAACCCAAAGGUUAAGGUGUUAGUAUCUAUGGGACUUGAGUUUGAAACAAGCUUGCCUUUUGCUCUCCUUUUAAAUUUGGUCAACUUUGUAAAAUUGUAGUCCUCCAAACUUUAAAAAAAUUAUAGUAAUACCCCAAAAUGUUUGUAAACCUUAAGAAUGCACACCAAUCCAAUUCCAACUAGAAUUCAUAUCUUAUCAUUGUUUAAAAUUUAAAUAGAAUUAAAAUUCCAUAUUUUUUAAAUCUUUUUAUCCUAAUUUGAAAUUAUAUCUUUUUUAAAAUAAAUUCAAAUAGAAAUAGAAAUUCAUAUUUUUUAUCUUCUAAUCCUAAUAGAAUUUAUCCUCUUUCCUUCUAUUUAUUCUCUAUUUUUCUUUCAAAACUCAUAUUGUAAAAUUAUUUCAAAUUCUUGGGUUUUUUUCUUUUUCUCUUCUAUUGUUAAAUCGGAUUUCAAUAAAGGAAUUCAAACUCUUCAAAAUCAUCCCUCUUUUCUCAAGUAGAUCAUCAAUCUCUCCAAAGCUAAAGUUUUUAGGUGUGGGAUCUAAACUUAAAACAUUAUGUGUGAUUAAUUGUAGUGUUAGGAAAUUAAAAGAGUUGUUAUGUGAAUUGUAUUGUCGAAAUCAAUUUUAAAUCGGGUUUUGGAAAAUGGGAAUCGACUUUUAAAAAACGAAAAAUGGGAGUCGCCACCAAUCUUUUAAAGUGUAUUGGAACACUAUAUAAAUCAUUUUGGUCUACGAAAUUAUGAGAAAAUAGGUUCGGGAGUCAGUUACGUAUGAGGAAGGAUUAUCACCCUCGUAACGCCCAAAAUUGGUACCAAAUUGAGUAAUUUUGUCUUAAUGUCAGAAAUUUGAAAGAAUUUAAAAAUGGUAUUUCCUUAAAACCGUGAUGUUUUGAGAAAAGAAUCAAGAUUUCAUUCGUUUUAAAAGAGUACAAACAUCACAUCUAGCAUGAUUGGACAUGAUAUCUUUAAUCUUUCGUAACUAAAAUCAUCUUGCGAUUUGUAAAACUUAUUUAAAAGGGUAUUUUAGAUAAUUAGACAAACGAGAAAUUGCAACCCAGCAUGUUAGGGCACUAUUUCUCGAAUUUUUAAGUAUUCAAAACAUUGUCUUGCUCUUUUUUUUAAAAAAAUUCCUUUUUAAUUAAAUAAGAUAUGACUUUGGUUUAAAAGAUGAUAUGUUUUACAUAUUAUAAGAAAUUAAAAUAACCUAAUUUCAAUAUAUAUAUGCUUUAUCAUUUCAUGCAAAUAUAGUAAAUGCGACAAUCAAGGAUUUAAAUUAUCUAAUAUGCUAUUAUUUCAUGCAUGGUCAUAAAUAUCAUUAUUACAUACAAAAUACAACAUGGAAUACAGUAAAUUCAAUAGUAUAAAUUGUAUAACACAUACAUAAUAACAUUUCAUGCAAACAUAUCUAAAUUAUCAUAAUUUAACUAAUUUUAUGUGAAUAUAAAAAGCAAGAAUAAGAUGAUAUGUAGAAUUUUAUCUAUUAGACAAUAUCAAAAGAAAAGAGAAUCUAGGAACAAAUUUAAUGUACAAAAUAUAUCAAAAAAACUAUUUAGAAAUAUAUUAAAUAAUAUAAAAAAGAUAAAAGAGAACCCCUUUUUUAAAAUGAAGAAUACAUAUAUAUUGUUGCGGAAAGGAUCGAUUCGAGAACUCCGAUAUGACUACAAGUAAAUUGACCGAAACGAAAAAUAAAGUGAACACAAGGAUUUACGUGGUUCGGCUUUAAUGCCUACGUCCACGGGCAGAGGCGAAAAGAAAUUUCACUAUAACAAGAUGAAGAUUACAAGUGUUUUACACUCAAGACACAACCCGAGAACCUCACAACUCUCAACCCCUAUAGAAAACCCGAAAGCUAAAAUCCUAGCUUUCAAAGAACAAGCUUUGCUCUCUCUUGGUUUGGGAUGAUCAAUAUGGCUAAUGAACCUCUCUAUUUAUAAGAGAGUUCAAGGACAUAAUUGUCCAAAACUUUGGCAAAGAUUUGUGGUUGAAAAUGGACACCAACAACCAUCCACUAAUCCACUACCACCAACAACCCACUACCAACAACAACAAUCCACUACCAAUUUUAAGCCAUUUCUUAACAAAUCUCCACCUUGGCUUGAAAUUUACCAAGCUGAACAUCAUAGUGAAUUCCUCGAACUGGAUCACCUCUUCCAAACGCCUCUCUGGCGCUAAUCAAUCCCGAAUACCUAUCAAGUCCAAGCAAUGCUUGAACUUAUAUGCAGGGAUCACCUUAGUUAACAUAUCUGCAGGAUUCUUCUCGGUAGCAACCUUGCUGAUAACAAUGUCACCUUGCGUAACAUGUUCCCGAACAAAAUGAUAUCUGACAUCAAUGUGUUUGGUCCGUUCAUGAAACAUCUGAUUUUUAGUCAGAUGUAUGGCACUCUGGCUAUCGCAAAAUACAACAGUGAAAUCCUGUUGUAAACCCAAACUGCUUACUAGACCUUUCAUCCACAAUGCUUCUUUCACUGCUUCUGCUAACGCCAUAUAUUCCGCCUCAGUCGUAGAUAAGGCUACGGUAGACUGUAACACAGCUUUCCAACUAAUGGCUCCUCCAGAAUAAGUGAAAACAUAACCCGUCAGAGAUCUUCUUUUGUCCAGAUCUCCAGCAUAAUCAGAGUCCACAUAGCCCGUGACACUGCUAGUGCAGUCACUCUGAUCAUAUACCAAGCAUAAAUCUGCAGAACCUCUCAAGUACCUGAGAAUCCAUUUCACGGCCUGCCAGUGUUCCUUGCCAGGACAACUCAUGUAUCUGCUGACCACACUAACUGCAUGUGAAAUGUCUGGACGAGUGCAAACCAUUGCAUACAUCACGCUUCCAACUGCACUCGAGUAUGGAAUGUGAGACAUUUGCUGCUUUUCUUCAUCAGAUUGUGGUGACAACUCUGCAGAGAGUUUGAAAUGUGGUGCCAACGGAGUACUCACAGUUUUCGCUUUAUCCAUGCCGAAGCGUUGAAGAACCUUUUCAAUGUAGUUCUUCUGCGACACACGAAGCUUGCCCGCCUUGCGAUCUCUGUGAAUAUCCAUGCCCAAAAUUUUCUUGGCAGCACCCAGAUCCUUCAUCUCGAACUCACCACUCAACUGCGACUUUAACUUGUUGAUUUCCGACAUGUUUUUGGAAGCAAUUAACAUGUCAUCAACAUACAGCAACAAAUAAAUGUGCGAACCAUCUGAGAGCUUUCGAUGAUAGACACAAGCAUCAUAGUCACAUCUUGUGUAACCAUGCUGAAUCAUGAAGCUAUCAAACCGCUUGUACCACUGCCUUGGGGAUUGUUUCAAUCCAUAUAAAGACUUCUUUAAUAGACAGACAUGGUCUUCUUUACCAGGAACUGUAAAACCCUCUGGUUGACGCAUGUAGAUUGUUUCCUCGAGCUCACCAUGCAAGAACGCCGUUUUUACGUCAAGCUGCUCAAGUUCUAGAUCAGACUUGGCCACCAUGGCAAGUAAUACACGAAUGGAAGAAUGCUUUACGACUGGGGAGAAAACUUCAUUGUAGUCAAUCCCCUCUUUCUGAGUGAAGCCUUUAGCAACCAAUCGUGCCUUGAAUCUAGUUGCUUCAACCCCUAGGAUGCCUUCCUUUUUCUUGAAGACCCAUUUGCAACCAACUAUCUUCUGGUUACUUGGCGGCUUAACCAACUCCCAAGUAUGGUUCUUGUGAAGAGAUUCUAUCUCCUCACUCAUAGCAAUUGCCCACUGUGCCGACUCAUCACACGUGACAGCCUCAUUAUAACUGGAAGGUUCUAUACCAAUGGACUCCGCCACACUGAGCGCGAAAGACACCAGAUUAGCGUAACGCGGAUUUGGUUUGAUUUGUCUCUUCGUUCUUCCAGUGGCAAUGCUAUAUGGUUUUACUUGAGGUGACUCAUCUUCAUCGGAAUCUUGCACCUCAACUUGAUCAUCCUGGACUGAAGUACCUUCCGUAGGAAUUGGAGCGUCCACCUGACACUCCACCUGCUUCUCAACACCGUGAUCUCCCAUUCUAUCUGACUCCUCCUUUUCCCGGGAAUUUGUGGUGGAUCGAAGCAUGGAUGACUCAUCAAAAGUCACAUCUCUGCUGAUGAUGAACUUGGACGAAACCGGAUCAGGACACCACAACCUGUAUCCUUUCACCCCUUGGCCGUAUCCAAGAAAUAUGCAUUUCUUCGCCCUCGGUUUGAGUUUUCCCUCAUUUACAUGAGCAUACGCAGGGCAGCCAAACACUCUUAAACCAGAGUAAUCAGCAGGAGAACCAGACCAUACUUCCUCAGGAGUCUUCAGCUCAAUAGCUGUUGACGGAGAUCUGUUAACCAAAUAACAAGCAGUAUUAACAGCUUCAGCCCAAAAUUCUUCACCGAGCCCAGCAUUUGAUCGCAUGCAACGAGCUCGCUCCAAGAGAGUUCUAUUCAUGCGUUCUGCAACUCCAUUUUGUUGUGGUGUUCGACGAACAGUGCGGUGUCUCACUAUUCCUUCAUUUUUGCAGAACUCAUUGAAUUCACCUGAGCAAAACUCCAAGCCAUUAUCCGUCCGGAAUCGCUUGAUCUUCUUUCCUGUUUGAUUUUCGAUCAAAGCUUUAAAUUGCUUGAAGUUGAUGAGAACCUCAUACUUGCUCUUCAGAAAAUACACCCAAACCUUUCUCGAGUAAUCAUCGAUAAAGGUAAGCAGAUAUCUGUAACCACCUUUAGAAAUUGUCGGAGAAGGCCCCCAAAGGUCAGAAUGGAAGUAAUCCACUGUGCCUUUUGUCUUGUGAAUCCCAGUGCUGAACUUUACCCGAGUCUGCUUACCGAAGACGCAGUGCUCACAGAAAUUCAACUUUCCUGUACACUGCCCAGACAAUAAUCCUCGUUUGCUUAGCACCGAUAAGCCUCUCUCGCUCAUAUGCCCGAGCCGCAUAUGCCAUAACUUCGUGGUGUCAGAAUCUAGAUCAUCUGAUGAUGACACUCCCGCAACACCUGUAACCGAGGAACCAUCGAGGAAGUAAAGGCCCCGCUCCAAAUUACCACGUAUCACAGUCAAAGCACCCGAGAAUACCUUGAGAACUCCACCUUCAGCAGAGUACCGAAAGCCUUUCUUGUCCAACGUACUCAAAGAGAUCAAAUUUUUCUUCAUUUCUGGAAUGUGCCGAACAUCAGUUAGAGUUCUAACAAUACCGUCAAACAUCUUUAUACGAACUGUGCCAAUCCCCAUGACUUGACAUGCGUGGUCAUUUCCCAUUAGUACUGAACCAGAAUGCUUCUCGUAUGUUGAGAAUGCAUCUUUCGAAGUACUUAUAUGAAAUGUAGCUCCCGUAUCAAGAAUCCAUCUCCCACCAGCGUAAGAGUCGGAUACUGCAAGAACGAUCUCGGCAUCACUUGAAGAAUCUGCAUCAGCUACAUUCGCACGAUCAUUUUGUUGCUCCUGUGAUUCUGAUUUCUCCUUCCUUUUCGGACAAUCUACCUUCAUGUGCCCGUACUUCUUACAGUAGUAGCACUGUAUUCUCUUCUUGGACUGCGAUCUAGGAUGGCUUUUACUUGAACUUCCACCCUUUGCCUUGGAUCUUCCUCGAGCAACCAAGCCUUCGCCUUCAUUGUUUUCGACCACCUUACCAGUGAUUUUCUUCCUCAACUCACUGGAACUUAAGGCAUUUUUCACCUCCUCUAGAGUCAGGUCAUCACGACCGUACAUCAUUGUAUCAACAAAAUUCUCAUACGAGGGAGGCAAAGAACACAAAACAAUUAUUGCUUGGUCCUCAUCAUCGAUUUUGUUAUCGAUAUUAUUCAAAUCCAUGAUAAUGGAAUUGAAUUUAUCCAGGUGCUGGGAAACAGGUGUACCUUCCUCCAUCUUCAGGGCAUAGAGUCUUUGCUUGAGGUAGAGCCGGUUCGUCAAUGACUUCGUCAUGUACUUGCUCUCUAACCGGAGCCACAAACCGGACGCGGUUUUCUCAUCCGCUACUUCUCGUAGCACUUCAUCUCCUAGACAUAGCAGAAUAGCACUAUGUGCUCUUUCUAGCAUGUCAUCCUUUUGCUCUUCCGAAAGCGUGCUUGGUAAUUUAUCUUUACCAGACAAUGCUUUUAGCAAUCCUUGUUGAACCAGCACUGCCCGCAUCUUGAUGCGCCAUAAACUGAAACUAUUUUUCCCGGUAAAUUUCUCGACAUCAUACUUAGUCGAUGAAACACUUGUAGCCAUAAUUUGGAACCUUUGAAUGAAUGAUAAUAUUUUCUUCCUGAUGUGAAAGAUCAGACAAAGCUGCAGUCACAGGGCAAUUCAGAAAAUAUUAUCACUCCUUCAACUACGCUCUGAUACCAAUUUGUUGCGGAAAGGAUCGAUUCGAGAACUCCGAUAUGACUACAAGUAAAUUGACCGAAACGAAAAAUAAAGUGAACACAAGGAUUUACGUGGUUCGGCUUUAAUGCCUACGUCCACGGGCAGAGGCGAAAAGAAAUUUCACUAUAACAAGAUGAAGAUUACAAGUGUUUUACACUCAAGACACAACCCGAGAACCUCACAACUCUCAACCCCUAUAGAAAACCCGAAAGCUAAAAUCCUAGCUUUCAAAGAACAAGCUUUGCUCUCUCUUGGUUUGGGAUGAUCAAUAUGGCUAAUGAACCUCUCUAUUUAUAAGAGAGUUCAAGGACAUAAUUGUCCAAAACUUUGGCAAAGAUUUGUGGUUGAAAAUGGACACCAACAACCAUCCACUAAUCCACUACCACCAACAACCCACUACCAACAACAACAAUCCACUACCAAUUUUAAGCCAUUUCUUAACAUAUAUAUUUUAAAGCAUAAUAACUUAGUAUAUAAGAAAAAUAAUGCACUAAAUGUUAGAAAUAUAUAUAUAUAGAUAUAUAUAUAAUUAUUAAGUAACAAUGUAUACUUUGUGGUAAAACAAGGCAAUAUGGAUAUAUGGUGAAAAAUAAUAUAAUUUACAAAUAAAAUAUAAUAUAAAUCGUAUAGUAAUAAAAAUACAUGUAAUAAAAUAUAUAAUAUAAUAUAUGAGGAAAUAUAUAAAAUAAUAAUUUAUUAAGUAUUUUCAUAUAGUAAAAUAAUUAAUACAUAUAGGAAAAUACAUAGUAUAUGCUAAAUUUAUAAAUAAAAUAUAUAAUAAUAUAAUUUAUAACAUAUAAAAAUACAAGAAAGAAUCUAACUAGAUUUCAUCUGUCACUACCAAUCUAAAUUACACAAUUUCUUUACUUAGCACAUUGAUUCGUAGAAAUCCUUAAAUUAUGCUAAUAUCUCUUUCGAGUAUAAGAACAACUGACUCUAGAUUGAUUAAUUGAAAUUUAUUUCUAAUUAAAACCCCUAUUAUCGUACUAACUCAUGUUAUGGGUUCCCCUAUUAGAUUUUACUCUAAUCCGAUAUAAAUGAGAGGAGAUGAUAAUUAAUUAAUUAAUUAAAAAGCCAUGUUGGCUGCUGACCGUUGUUUGUUUCAGUAAGGUCUCUAGCUGCCACUUCCGAAGAAAUGGAAAGAACAAUCACAGAUAAAACAGCAAGGAUGAGAAAACUCUUGCAAACCGAACCCAUUUUUUAUUUUUGUUUUUUAAAUCAAAGUGAACAAUCUUGGAUAAAAGUGUUUGGAGAGUUAAGAAUGCUUAAACAAAGACAAUCUACGUCUCUAUUUAUACGCCCCAAUCAUCAACUUAUAUGCAUAUAUAAGAAAAUGUGUGAGCGUAAUAAAACGUAAAGAUUUGCCUGUCGACCACGCAAUGCAGCUGGCAGUUGAAGAGUCGCCAAACAAUUCAACUUGGACUUUGGAAAGUGAUUGGUCGACCAAAAAGUGAAAGUAGCAAAGUUGAUGCCUCUCACUAACGUAACUCUAGAUGAAUAUUAUUAAAUCACGAUUUGUGAUGGAUGUGGAAAUGCUCUCAUCUGAAAAUGCUAGUCACAAAACCGGUGAACCUCUAACAUCCGGGAUAGGCUACCAAGAAAAUGAGAUUGAGGGAGGAUGAUCCGCCAAAAACGGCGGUGAUUUAUGAUGGACCUCGUAUGUCCUUUCAACAUAAACUAGUGAAUGGAGAGAUAUAUGUUCUCGCAGGUUUCGAACAUGGUAUCCGACUGUUGGAGGACGAUAUUAAAAAAAAAAUAUUAUGAAGGGUGUCUCAUCGAUACGAUUCUCGUAUCGCCUCCACUUCUUGAUAGAAGAAAAAGUGUGAUCAAGACAGUGAUUUUUAAAACAUAUUUUGUCAAAAAAUAGGUUUUAAUGCUCUUUAAAAUAAUACUUUCAUAUGAUGGAAGCCAUCCUUUCACUUUCAAUUAAUGAAUUUGGAGAACAACUAUAUGGCAAAAUUUGCUCCGAUUGAGGAUUAUAAUAAAGUGCUUGCAGGCGGGCUGUGAAUAAUCUUUGAGUAUUGUAUGACGGUUCAGACAUCAUAGUUUCCCGUAUCUACAGACCGGUGGAAUGGAGGGGAGUAUCAAAUAAUUUAUAAUACACGAGUAACAAAUACUAUAAAUAAAAUUAUAGUAAAAUAUAAAAUAUAAAAGGUAAUUAUUUGGUAUACAGAUUUUACUAAAUGUUUUCUUCUUUUCAAAUUUUAAAUACAAUUUAAGGAUAUAUAGAAAAAUUUCAACUCGGCUUGUAGAAUUAAUUACCAAUGUAAAAAUAAUUAUUCAUAAUAUAAAACUAUAUAAUUAAUGUAUCCUAUAAUACAUUUGUCAAUCCCUAUAUUAAUACAUUUGUCAAUCCUUAUAAUACUCUUUAUAAUUAUAAAUGUAAAAAAUAUAUAACUUAUUAAUUAAGUAGAAAAAGUAGAUAUUUUAUAAAUAUUAUUCAUUUAAUAUCUAAUUGAAAACAAAUUCUAAAUUAAUACUUAAUUAAAAGUACAUAAAUACUAAUAAAGAUUGUAUAUUUAUUUUUCUAUUGAUAUUUUAAUAUUUAAAAUUUGAAUUUGAAUUUAAAUUUGAAUUUUUAUAUGAAUAUAAUUUAAUAAAAUAAUUUAAUUAUAUUUCAACUGAAAAUAUUAAAUUAAAUUAACAUAUUAUUGUUUAAUAAUCUUGACAUGUAUAAUUAAAAAAAAAAUCCUUCGUCCGAUCUUAUUAAAAAAAAAAAAACACUCCCCCAUUGACCAUUGCUACCCUUGGCCUUUCUCAGCCAACGAUUCUGGAUCGUUGGUACUUAUCUAUAAAAGUUGUUCAGUCUCCUAGGACAUCAAACUAAAAAAUCAACAUAAGCAAUGAGGCCAUCUCUUGCAUUUGCAUGCUUUCUUUUCUUCGUUACCCUUUUCCCAUUCAUGGUCUUUUCUUUCUCGUCUGAGCAGCCUGCAUUACUUUGUCACAGCGAUGAGCGUCUUGCUUUGAUGCAGCUCAAGGAUAGCUUCAUCAUCGACAAGCAAGCAUUGGCUAAUGGUUCUUGUGCUUAUCCUAAGGUUGAUAGUUGGGAUUCUCAAAGCGUUGACUGCUGUUCAUGGGAUGGAAUAGAGUGUGACCAAAACACUGGUCUGGUGAUAGGCCUGGAUAUCAGCAGUAGUUGCCUUUAUGGCUCCAUCAAUUCCACCAGCUCUCUCUUCCGCCUUGUUCACCUUCAAAAGCUUAACCUUGCUAAGAACCAUUUUAAUUACUCUGUGAUUCCAUAUGCGUUGGGCAAUCUUUCGAUGCUCACAAACCUUAACCUCUCCAGUUCUGAAUUUUCUGGUCAAAUACCGUCAGAAAUUUCAAAUCUACAUAGGUUAUCUUCCCUCGAUCUCUCGUACGUAGAUUUGGCGUCUCCGAUUCCAAGUGUGUUGGCCAACUUGUCCUCGCUGACGUCCCUGAAUCUCGACUCUUGUGGACUGCAAGGCAUGUUUCCAUUAGCCAUUUUCCAGCUACCAAAGCUUGAAACUAUUUGGCUUGUACGCAAUUCCGAUCUCAAAGGUUACUUACCAGAGUUCAAUUUCAGCACCAAACUUAAAGAGUUAGCAUUGUGGAAUACAAGAUUUUCUGGUGAGUUACCUGCUUCAAUUGGAAACCUUGAUUCUUUGGAAUACUUGGGACUCGGUAACUGCAACUUCACAGGGUCAGUGCCAUUUACGUUGGGUAUCUCCUCAAUCUCAAAUUUCUGAAUCUUGGAAAUAAUUCUUUUACGGGUGAGUUGCCUUCCAUUAAUUCCAAAACGUUUUAUUUAUAUAUUAUUUCGUUGAGCAUAUACUUGAAGUUAAAGGUUCUUCUUAAUUGCUACUUCACAGGGUUAGUGCCACCAACGUUGGGGUAAUCUCACCAAGCUCUGUAAGUUGUAUCUUCAAAGUAAUCAUUUCACGGGUGAGCUACAGGAAACCUUACCUCUUCGUUUUUUUUUUCUUU
rnacentral:lncRNA from 1 species